rnacentral:rRNA from 1 species
UACAGAGGUCUCAAGCGUUGUUCGGAAUCACUGGGCGUAAAGGGUGCGUAGGCGGCACGUCAAGUCAGAUGUGAAAGACCGGAGCUCAACUCCGGAACUGCAUCCGAAACUGGCGAGCUAGAGGGCUCGAGGGGAGUGUGGAAUUCACGGUGUAGCAGUGAAAUGCGUAGAUAUCGUGAGGAACACCAGUGGCGAAGGCGACACUCUGGAGAGCAACUGACGCUGAGGCACGAAGGCCAGGGGAGCGAACGGG